rnacentral:rRNA from 1 species
UACGGGGGGGGUAAGCGUUGUUCGGAAUUACUGGGCGUAAAGGGUGCGUAGGCGGGUCUUUAAGUCAGGGGUGAAAUCCUGGAGCUCAACUCCAGAACUGCCUUUGAUACUGAGGAUCUUGAGUUCGGGAGAGGUGAGUGGAACUGCGAGUGUAGAGGUGAAAUUCGUAGAUAUUCGCAAGAACACCAGUGGCGAAGGCGGCUCACUGGCCCGAUACUGACGCUGAGGCACGAAAGCGUGGGGAGCAAACAGG